rnacentral:rRNA from 1 species
UGAACGCUGGCGGCGUGCCUAACACAUGCAAGUCGGAUGUGCCGCAAGGUGCAUGGCAGACGGGUGAGUAACGCGUGGGGAAUCUACCUUUUUGUGGGGAAUAACGCUCCGAAAGGAGUGGUAAUACCGCAUGAGACCGCGAGCUGGGAUGCUGGCGGUGAAACCUGGGGACCGCAAGGCCUGGGGCAAAAAGAGGAUCCUGCGUCUGAUUAGCUAGUUGGCGGGGUAAUGGCCCACCAAGGCGACGAUCAGUAGCCGGCCUGAGAGGGUGAUCGGCCCCACUGGAACUGAGACACGGUCCAGACUCCUACGGGAGGCAGCAGUGGGGAAUUUUGCGCAAUGGACGAGAGUCUGACGCAGCAACGCCGCGUGGGUGAUGAAGGUCUUCGGACUGUAAAACCCUGUCGUCAGGGACGAAGGUGGCAGCGUUAAUAGCGUUGUACUUGACGGUACCUGGAGAGGAAGCCCCGGCUAACUCUGUGUCAGCAGUAGCGGUAA